rnacentral:rRNA from 1 species
AGCCAGCAGCCGCGGUAAGACGUAGGUGGCGAGCGUUGUCCGGAAUUACUGGGCGUAAAGGGCGUGUAGGCGGCCUUUCAAGUCAGGCGUGAAAUCCCUGGGCUUAACCUGGGGACUGCGUUUGAAACUGGAGGGCUUGAGGACAGGAGAGGAAAGCGGAAUUCCCAGUGUAGCGGUGAAAUGCGUAGAUAUUGGGAGGAACACCAGUGGCGAAGGCGGCUUUCUGGACUGUCCCUGACGCUGAGGCGCGAAAGCCAGGGGAGCGAACGGGAUUAGAUACCCCGGUAGUCCUGGCUGUAAACGAUGGGUACUAGGUGUGGGGGGUAUCGACCCCCUCCGUGCCGGAGUUAACACAAUAAGUACCCCGCCUGGGGAGUACGGCCGCAAGGUUGAAACUCAAAGGAAUUGACGGGGGCCCGCACAAGG